rnacentral:rRNA from 1 species
UACGUAGGGGGGCAAGCGUUUGUCCGGAUUUAUUGGGCGUAAAGAGCGUGUAGGCGGCCAGGUAGGUCUGCUGUGAAAACUCGAGGCUUAACCUCGAGAUGUCGGCGGAAACCAUCUGGCUAGAGUCCGGAAGAGGAGAGUGGAAUUCCUGGUGUAGCGGUGAAAUGCGCAGAUAUCGGGAGGAACACCGGUGGCGAAGGCGGUUCUCUGGGCCUUACCUGACGCUGAGGAGCGAAAGCGUGGGGAGCGAACAGGAUUGAGAA